rnacentral:rRNA from 1 species
ACAUGCAAGUCGAGCGGAUGAAGAGAGCUUGCUCUCUGAUUCAGCGGCGGACGGGUGAGUAAUGCCUAGGAAUCUGCCUGGUAGUGGGGGACAACGUUUCGAAAGGAACGCUAAUACCGCAUACGUCCUACGGGAGAAAGCAGGGGACCUUCGGGCCUUGCGCUAUCAGAUGAGCCUAGGUCGGAUUAGCUAGUUGGUGAGGUAAUGGCUCACCAAGGCGACGAUCCGUAACUGGUCUGAGAGGAUGAUCAGUCACACUGGAACUGAGACACGGUCCAGACUCCUACGGGAGGCAGCAGUGGGGAAUAUUGGACAAUGGGCGAAAGCCUGAUCCAGCCAUGCCGCGUGUGUGAAGAAGGUCUUCGGAUUGUAAAGCACUUUAAGUUGGGAGGAAGGGUUGUAGAUUAAUACUCUGCAAUUUUGACGUUACCGACAGAAUAAGCACCGGCUAACUCUGUGCCAGCAGCCGCGGUAAUACAGAGGGUGCAAGCGUUAAUCGGAAUUACUGGGCGUAAAGCGCGCGUAGGUGGUUCGUUAAGUUGGAUGUGAAAGCCCCGGGCUCAACCUGGGAACUGCAUUCAAAACUGACGAGCUAGAGUAUGGUAGAGGGUGGUGGAAUUUCCUGUGUAGCGGUGAAAUGCGUAGAUAUAGGAAGGAACACCAGUGGCGAAGGCGACCACCUGGACUGAUACUGACACUGAG